rnacentral:rRNA from 1 species
UCCUGGCUCAGAUUGAACGCUGGCGGCAUGCCUUACACAUGCAAGUCGAACGGCAGCGGACCUUCGGGUGCCGGCGAGUGGCGAACGGGUGAGUAAUAUAUCGGAACGUACCUUUCAGUGGGGGAUAACGUAGCGAAAGUUACGCUAAUACCGCAUAUUCUGUGAGCAGGAAAGCAGGGGAUCGCAAGACCUUGCGCUGAUUGAGCGGCCAAUAUCAGAUUAGCUAGUUGGUGAGGUAAAGGCUCACCAAGGCGACGAUCUGUAGCGGGUCUGAGAGGAUGAUCCGCCACACUGGAACUGAGACACGGUCCAGACUCCUACGGGAGGCAGCAGUGGGGAAUUUUGGACAAUGGGCGCAAGCCUGAUCCAGCCAUGCCGCGUGAGUGAAGAAGGCCUUCGGGUUGUAAAGCUCUUUCGGCCGGGAAGAAAUCGCACGGGUUAAUACCCUGUGUGGAUGACGGUACCGGAAUAAGAAGCACCGGCUAACUACGUG